rnacentral:rRNA from 1 species
UACGUAGGGGGCGAGCGUUGUCCGGAGUUACUGGGCGUAAAGCGCACGCAGGCGGUCUGUUAAGUUUGGAGUGACAGUUGGUGGCUUAACUGCCAAAGUGCUUCGAAAACUGACAGACUUGAGGGCUUCAGAGGGACACGGAAUUCCGAGUGUAGAGGUGAAAUUCGUAGAUAUUCGGAAGAACACCAGUGGCGAAGGCGGCUCACUGGACUGGUAUUGACGCUGAGGUGCGAAAGCGUGGGGAGCAAACAGGAUUGAGAA